rnacentral:tRNA from 1 species
GCGCCCGUAGCUCAAUUGGACAGAGCAUCUGGCUUCGGACCAGAGGGUUGGAGGUUCGAGUCCCCCCGGGCGCG